GACGAACGCUGGCGGCGUGCUUAACACAUGCAAGUCGAACGGAGUGGCGAACGGGUGAGUAACACGUGGGUGAUCUGCCUUGCACUUCGGGAUAAGCUUGGGAAACUGGGUCUAAUACCGGAUAGUGCAAGAUGAGCUCGCGGCCUAUCAGCUUGUUGGUGGGGUCAUGGCCUACCAAGGCGUCGACGGGUAGCCGGCCUGAGAGGGUGUACGGCCCCAUUGGGACUGGGUUACGGCCCAGACUCCUACGGGAGGCAGCAGUGGGGAAUAUUGCGCAAUGGGGUGGAGCCUGAUGCAGCGACGCGGCGUGGGGGAUAAAGGCCUACGAGUUGUGAACUCCUUUCGACAGGGACGCGGUACCUGUAUAAGAAGCACCGGCUAACUACGUGCCAGCAGCCGCGAUAAUAC
rnacentral:rRNA from 1 species